AUUUCAACCCCCUAUUUUACCCACUUGAGGGUAAUCCUUCAAAAAUCCUUUCUUAACGGAUGUUUACGUUAUAAUAACUAUCUGCGUACCAAAUUUUAGUCCGAUCUGUCCAGUACUUUGAGCUGUGGGUUGAUAGAUCAGCCAGUCAGAUUUUCCUUUUAUAUAUUUAGAUUUCUGCGCAAGUACCUACUUAAUAAUUA